UACGUAGAGUGCAAGCGUUGUCCGGAAUUAUUUGGGGUCGGUAAAAGGGGUAACGGCAGGCGGGUAGGUAAAGUCAAGCGUGAAAGGUGUCGGCUUAACCGACAGACUGCGUUUGAAACUGAUUAUCUUGAGUGUAACAGAGGAGAGUGGAAUUCCUAGUGUAGUGGUGAAAUACGUAGAUAUUAGGAAGAACACCAGUGGCGAAGGCGACUCUCUGGGUUAACACUGACGCUGAGGUACGAAAGCUGGGGGAGCAAACGGGAUUAGAUACCCGGGUAGU
rnacentral:rRNA from 1 species